AGUUCAGUUUACAUGUGACACCCCAAUAAUCUCAUACUGGCCGGAUAGUUAUGUCUAAUUGUGGGGGUAUAUAAACUUGAUUAAAUUAGACAUAAUAACUAGGCUUAAACAUUUUGAGCCAGUGGUUUGGAUCUAACGAGUUAUUAUUGCUAAUAAAUCGGAUUGUUAUAUUUGGUAUUAGAGCCAGUUCACCAGUCGAAAGUGUGAAAUGAGUUUUGGCUGAGUCAGGGUCGGAAUGACAGACUAAAAUGUCGACAAGCCUAGCGAGACAAGUCUAAUAUCGCCGGGUGAAUCUAACGAGAAUGUCAGUGCCUAAACAGAAAGAGUAUGUGACGUCUUAAUAAUUCCAUAUCGGAUAGCUAUGACUAGGUAUGGGGAUAUAUAAACUUGAUUAGGCUAGAUAUAAUAACCGAGUUUAAAUAUUUUGGAUCGGUAGUUUGGAUCUAAUGAGUUAUUAUAUCUAGCGAGUCGGGUUGUUACAUUACACCCUUCUAACUUCUACCUGGUUUAGUUAGAACAUGCUAGUCGCUUCUGGCACGCAAAAUUUUUCGCAAAAAUUUAAGCCCUUGGGUCGACAGGAACUUUGCCUUAUGCUGGUAGUUAGUCUAGAGCAAAAAUUUUCAUGGGGAAUAACCCCAGAAUAGCUUAUUUGGGGCUGACAGGGGCACCAACUGGGAGAGCAGUAGAAAAUUAUUAAGUGGAUAAUUCAAAAUAUGAAACUAAAUUUUGAUUUAUUCAAAUUCAAACUUAAAAUUAUAAUUUAAAUUUUAAUUUGAAUUCAUAAAUUUAAUUUAAGUUUGAAAUAAAAUUUGAAUAAAACUUUAUAUAAAUUAAAAUUUAAUUUAAGGGCUUGUUUGGUUUAUCCAUUUUGGGCAUGGAAUGGGAAUCGGUUUGAUCAAAUCCGGUUAAUUUUGUUUGGUUCGCAUGAAUCGGUUUGGGAUUCCUAUUCCGGACUGGAAUGGAAAUGGCCCAUUAGCUUUCAACUUGAUUCCGGUCUUCUAGCCCGGAUUGAGAUUUCAUUCCGGAAGCCCACUAAGUUUUCGAAGCUUAUGUGACCAUCUCACCCUCCUUCUCUUCACCCCUUUCUCAUCAAAAAAAAAAAAACCCUAUCCUCUCUAAAACCCUAUCCCUAACCCACAUCAAUAAAAGUUUUUAAAAAUAAAUUUGAUAUUUUUUUUGGAAAACUUAUUAGAGAAUAGUAUUAUAUUUUUUAUAAAUUUUAAAUAAUAUAAAUUUAUAUUUAAGAGUAAAAUUAGUAUUAUANAGUUAGAUUCGAAAUACUUGAUUAAAUUUUAAUUUUUAAUUUAAGUUCAAAUUAAAAUUUAAAAUAAUAUAUUUAAUUUUAAAUUUUAACUCAUAUUUUAAUUAAAAAAAUUGAAAAAAUAAAUUUAAUCCGAAUAAAUAUCCAUUUCGUCCGGAUUCAACUUCCAAUCCGGCCUCCUAGGCCGGAUUGAAAAAAGAGGUGAUUGGGGGAUUUCCAUUCUACUCGGAAAUCGGAAUCCGAAUGGGACUCCCGCAUACCAAACACCUACAAACGGAUUCAUCCAUUCCGAUUACGAUUCCAGGAUGAAAGGGUGAAAAAGAAGUGAACCAAACACGCCAUUAGAGAUAAACGCUGAAAUCAACCUAAAUAAUUUGACUAAUGUGGAAACAUGUAUAGCACUGCCUUAAGACGUAUUUCUGUCCUUCAUGCAGCAGGAUUAAUCAAAAACAUCGUCCUAAAAUAUGACCGGAAUUCCUCCUUUUAUGAGCAUGAACGUAAAAAAAAAAA
rnacentral:lncRNA from 1 species